rnacentral:lncRNA from 1 species
UUAAAAUGAAAAGAAAAAACCAAUUGUUUUAUGGAAAAUCAUCAUUUCACAUUAUCUUAUGUCUCCCUGUGAUCAAUAGGCAAUCUGCAAUAUGAUAGAAAACUAUAGACGCAAUCUCGACUCAAGUAUUAAGCUGAAAAGGCCAAGGCUUAAGAACAACAAAAUUUCAACUUAUAAUAUUGAAGAAAAACAAUCAGAAAGAACAAUGCAAAGCAUUAAGCAUCCAUGUAAACAUGUUAAGUCUCCAUGCCCUCAAUGAAAGUUCUUCUAAUUCUACACACUUUCUGCACCUUUUUUCUUCUUUCUUUGCUUUCUGACAUCAAAACAAAGAAACAAUAACAAGAAUAAGAUCCUCUUGUAAGAUAGAAAGUUAUCAAUCAAAAGGAAGUACAUGUUGAACAUUUUAAAACAAAAGCACGAAGGGAAGUUAGAGCCAAAAUAUAAGAGGUGUUUAUAUUAAGGAAUUUGAUCUGACUAAGAAAAGUUAAGUGUACAUACAAACAAGCAAACAAUAAGAUCUUGGUACGAGCUCAGCCGCACAAACAAAAUUUGAGAUAGACGUGCCUAACAAUGAAUGCCCCUAGCCAUUUCCCCUAAGUAACAUAUACAGUUCAUUGUUUUAAUAUGGCAGUCGCUGCCUCCAGAACAAAAUUUUUUCUUUCAUCACUAACUCCUCCAACCUGUAAUACAGAUUACUACAUCUAACAGUCAUCAUCACAACUAAAGUAGUUCACUCUGGAGGGCUGCCAUCAUAAACCUUCAAUACAGGUUGUUAGCAGCUUGUGGUCGCAAUAGAGGAUUAUUAAAGAGCAGGAGAACCAAAGAAAAGUAUAGUUGGUCCACUUAUUUGACCAAGAACCAAAUGAUUUUUGGGCAACGAGAAAAAGUAAAGAAAAAUAGGAAAAUAUAAAUCAAAUCCCAGCCAAACCAGGAUGUUCAAAUUAGGUAACAAAGUAAUGCUGCACCAGAUCCAAAUUUUUCUAACAAGAACAAGAAUAUUUUGCCCUUGUUUGGUCUCCAUUAAACCAAAAAUACAUUUUUUCAAAAACUCAUUUUCAACCAUAUGUUCUUUCAAUAAAAUAAUAUUACGUGCAAACAUAAAACUUUUCCUUACAUUUAAACCGGACAUUUUCCAAAAAAAUUGCUAUUCUAAAAUACAUUUUUACCAAAAUCUCAUUAAAAUGGAGCCCAAACAAGUGCUUUAUUUGACACAAAAGUGUUAAAAACUACCUUUCUUCCUCUAGACAGUUCAGGAUUACAUGAAUGAUUCAAGACUAAGUGAUGCAAUAUUAUAGAGAUUAAUUAUUUAUUUAGUUUCCGAUUUUAAUUCAUAUUUUAGGAAACAUGAUUAGAGUGCGAUUUAAUUAACUUUUAUGGCAUUCUUUUUUUAGUUAUGAUUUUUGAAACCCUGUAUACAGGGAAUUAUGGAGAUUUAAUAAAACAACUUGAUUAUAUGAAAUAAAUUGAUUUUUUCUCCCUAAUUUCUAUCUUCUCCUCUUCCCCUCUUCUUCUCUUUUUCCCCCUCCUUUCUCUUCUUCCCUCUCCUUUUCCCUUCUCCUACACUUCUCCCAUAGUAACCAGCGUCACUAAGUGGACAUGUCCAAAGCCAACUUUGUUAUGAAAAGAGCAUGUACCAGAACUCAUGAAAAUACACAUCAGCAAAGAGACAAUCUUUGUGUUCAUCAAAAUUUCAGCAGUUGAUUUAGAAGAUAGCAGCAUGUGCUACCAGCAGAAAAUAUAGUUAUUAUGUCCAGAGAUGUUGAACUCAAAAAAUUGCCAUAAAGUAGAAUCCCAGGGGCAAACAAAAGAUUUCCUUGUAGUUGAUUCUCCAAAACAAUUCACAACAACUAUAAUAGAGCGAACCCUCUAGACAGUAUAAAUUACCUACCAGUCAAGAAGUCUUUCAUCUCCAACCCCUCCCGGGUUAUGAACUAGUUGCAGGGUAUAAGUCAUUCAUACAAUUUUUCAUUUCAAAAGUCUCAAAACAGAGCAAAAUUAGGAAAUAUAGGCAAUAAACGGCUAUAGUCUGUGUAUAUAUGGAGAUGAAGAAAGGAAAAUGUCAUCUUGUCCCAUGUCAUGUGGAGAAAAUAAUUUUGCAUCAGCAGUGAUCAAGAAUAUGGUUUUUCCCACUACUUUUUAUUCCUCUAUAAAUCAAAAACAUCGAUAAACAUGAUUCAUGUAAGCAUUCAGAAUUUAAAAAAUAGUUUUCCUACGGUGUAUAAUGUAGUUGAACAAAAAAAACAAAAUAUGUAUAAUUCAUCCAGAAAUUAGGAGUUACAACAAGAACUGUUGGUCACUUAUCAAAUACAUCUAUCUAUCUUUCUCUUCUUCAUCGUUUCUGUUCUUUCCACUUCCCAUUAGCAUGUUCAUGUAGUAUUUGAAAGGAAAUUUCUAAUUUUAUUCAGCAUCUCAUGAGAAAUUCAUUUUAACAAAAUAAAUAAAUAAAUAAAAUAAAUAAAUAAACAAAUAAAAAAUAACAUUGACAGAAUUCAAGGACACAUAUUCGUGAACUGUGGUUAAUGAUAGCAACAAUAAUGCACAUAUAAGAUUUCAUUCAAUCAAUCAAGAUCCGAUAGAUAUAUAUAUAUAUUACAAAGCUAGCCUGCAUAUCAUGUUGAGUCCUGUGUCUGCUAAUGCUUGUGAACUCUGCGAUGUACGACUACUAGUUGUAAGCAACUCCUGGUCUGCAACAACAAUUUGACCUAUGAGCAAGACAAGGCUUUCCGUGUAAUUAUCAAGUCAAUAUUGUAUAUAUUUUUAUUUUUUUUAUGACAGUUGAUGUCUGGACCAGUUUACGCGCACUCGACUAAUUCCAUAGCUCACCUCAGUGGUCCUAUUCGGACUCGAACUUAUGACCAUCGGCGAGUAAACCAAUGUCUGACCACUGAUUUACCCCUCAAGGUUCAAUAUUGUAUAACUUACUCCAAGACUUGAUAAUUCCAUACUCUUUCAUCAACCAAACGCAGCAAGACUCACUGCCAGUGGCGAAUCCAGCAUCAACAUUCAGUUAGGGCGGAGGUUGAAUUUGACCAUUGAUCAUCGACGAUUGUAAAAGCCUAAUCCGAUCGGCGGCCAAUCGUUUAUUAAAAUUAGAUUAAAUAAUAUUAAAAAUUAUUCAAUAUAUAUGUAAAUGCACUAAACUCCAGAAAAUAUAUACAUAUGAAAAUAUAGUUCAAUAUAACCCAAAAUGCUAAAAAAAUAUACAUUACAAAUUUACUCUGAAAUUGCAAGCUUAGAUAACUGAAUUCUACGAGGUCGCAUAUUUUGAAAACGUUGCAAUAUUGUCUUAUUCUCAAGUUUCAUAAAAAGAUCUCUCUCCAUGUAUGCUACCAAAUUGUCAUUCAACAAUUCAUCUCCCAUUUUGUUGCGCAGAUCAUUCUUGAUUAGAUUCAUAGCAGAGAAUACCCUUUCAACACUUGCAGUUGCCACAGGUAAUAUCAAAAGCAAUGUGAUCAUCCUAUAAACCAAUGGAAAAUAACAAGAACUUCCAGUUUCAACCAACUUCUAAGCUACACAAGAUAUGCUUUUGAGGUUGAAGAAAGCUUCAUCCAUUCUCACGAGCAUAAGAAAUUUGUCAAGUUGAGGUCUAAGUAAUAAAAGCUUUUCACUAUUGAAAUCCAUAGGAUAUAACUGAGCAAGUCGUACCAAUUUACAUACAUCAAAAGCUGCAAAUGAAUCUCUUGGACUUAAACAUGAAAUGCAAGAAAGUAGUUGUUUCUGAAAAACGAUCAUUCAAUUCUUGCAAGAUUGAAUCUAUCACAUAACAAAACAAAUUAACAUAAAAACAAUGAUAAUAAGUCACCUAGUGACUUGCACGCCUAGGUCGACCUGUCAAUACUACAAUAUCAUCCACAUUGGACACUGAAAUAUGUCUAUCAACACAAAACUGAAUUACCUUACUCAACAAAGUAUCCCGACCAUUGUCUCUCAUGCUCUGCAAUGCGUACUUACACAACUUCAAUAAUCUCAUAGCAUUUUGAAUAUCCUUAUCCUUUUUCUGUAAGGCUUGUGAAAGGUCGUCUGUAAUUGAAAGAAUUUCAAAAAUAAAAUGGAGACUGAACACAAAUUGAAAAUCUUGCAUAGUGUCCAUCUGUCUUAUGGCCAUUGAUUUUUGCUGUAAACUUAUGCCGUCUUCUGAUAUAUUCUCAAGAACAUCUAUGAUCGCAUUAAACAUACUAAUAAAGCGAGUAACUGUUUUUAGAUGUGACCCCCAUUUAGUAUCACCUGGGCGUGCCAAACUCAUUUCUUGAAACUCACCAGUUUGACCAGAAAGUUCCUCAAUAUUAAGCCUCUCUAGAAUUACAACAUGAUAACUUGUUGGAAGAGCAUCUACACGUUUACAUGAUGCACCAACCAAAUUCACAAUAAUAGCAAGCAUGUUAAAUAAAUCACUAAGCAUAAAAUUCCUAUGUGCCACAGAAACAACUGUCAACUGAAGCUGGUGAGCAAAUCAAUGAAUAUACAUAGCACAUGGGUUCUCUUUUAAAAUUAAAGCUUUUAAGCCAUUGAACUCACCUGACAUAUUGCUUGCUCCAUCAUAACCUUGACCUCUCAGACUAGAUUUGCUCAACCAAUUUGUAGAAAACAUUGCAUCAAUGGCAUCCUUGAGUGAUUGGGCACAAGUAUCAACGAUGUGGCAAAUGCCCAACAAACGCUCCUUCACUUGCCCACUUUUGUCAACAAACCUCAAAACAACUGCCAUUUGUUCUUUUAUAGAAUUAUCACGAGACUCGUCAACCAAAAUUGAAAACAAGUAAUCGCCCAUCUCAUUGAUCAUAAACCUUGUCGUCUCUACGGCACAACAAUUAACUAAAUCCUUAUGGAUACUUGGUGAAGUCAUUUGGUCAUUUCCAGGAGCAUUACUAAAUAGUACUUCAUUAAUUUUCUUACGACGAGCUGCAUACCAAUUUAGUAGCUCAGUCAGAUUUCCUUUAUUAAGAGACUCUUUCGAUUCAUCAUGAUCACGAGAUGACAAUCCUUGCAUCAAGAGGAAUCUAGUACAGUCUAGCACUGCAGUCAACUUUGUCCUAUAAUUUUUUUGCUGACUACUACGUUGGCUAGAAAUAACAUGGGAGAUACUUUGCUUUUGAUUCAUCAAAUUGGUACACUUUGCAAAAGCUUGAUUAUGAGCACUAUCAAUGAGCCCGACAUGAUCUUUCAAUGUACUUUUGUGCUUCCAAUCCCUAAAGCCAGUCUUAGUGAAUAUAUGUCCACCCCUUGACCCCCUCUAUUUAGUUUGAAUAAGUAGUAAUGCAAACAAUAAGCCGCAUCAUUUUCUAUACUGUACUCGAACCAAUAAAAUUCAAAAAACCACUCUCUUCGAAAACACCUGUUAUCAUUUCCUAUCCGUCUUCUUGGAAAGUCAUGUCCAUGUGGUUGACAAGGACCUUUUUGCAAAUAUGCCGUCCUAACAUCAUCUUUGAUAUUAGGAUCAUAUGAUUCGAUAUAAGAUCAUCCACAUUGAAUUGAGCCGGAGACUUCUUUGUGCUAUUUAACAACUCGAGUGCUCGGCUAGAAGCAGUGGCGGGACUAGAAGCACAACUAAAACUAGGAGAACUAGGUAUAGACUUUUGUUUCGGUUGAAAAAAUCGUUCCAUAAUCUACAAAAUGCCUCAAUUUAAUUUUCAAUUACAAUUGAUUAAAAAAUCAACAAUUCAACAAAAAAAAUCCCCAAGAGUUAGAUAGCAACGUAUUAGAAAAAUCAAACCCUAAAAAAUUAGUCAAAGCAGCAAAGUUGCCUAAACAAUCAUCUAGGUAGUAAAUCACCGAUUUCAUUAGAUCUUCAGAAUACACUUUCCUUGACAUAAUUGAUAUCAGUUAAUAGUUAUGAAUAAUCAAAGCUUUGCCACAAAACCUUAUCCCUAGAACCAUUUAUAUUCAACAGAGUGGCUAUUAUAUACUUAUAUUCAUACCAUUUUCAUUUGCAUACAGCUCAAUAGACAAUACAAUAUGAUCUCCUCCACUGCUGACUUAUGACUUAUGAGAUAAAUUUUGAAAAUACAAAAAAGUGUAAACCACUAAACCUUCAAUAGCCAUUCAAAAUGCAGGCAGCCAUCAAGAAAACAAACAAUAAAGUAUCUUAUCAAAUGAGAACCCCAGAAGAGAAAGUAACAUCCGGACUGAAUUGACAGCAAACCUACGUACCUCCAAUUUAACAUUGCAAUUUAUUCCCAUUUUUCAUUCGAUAUUUUGUUAAGACCCAACUCCUAGACACCAAUUGUGUGUUUGGUUAGGUGGACUACACAAUAUUUAGA